CUGCACUCCAGCCUGGGCAACGGAGCGAGACCCUGUCUCAAAAAAUACAUCUAUCUAAAAGUAAAAUAAAUAAAAGAUAAAGAGAGAGUGAGCCAGGUGGUAUCUGGGGAAGAGCGUUCCUUGCAGAGGGAACAGCAAGUGCAGCAGGGUAGGAUCACACGAGACAAUGGAUAUGACAGCCCUGGGCUGUCAUGUAAACACAAGGACCCUCCAAGCCGGCCACUCCUCACUGGCCUCCUGAACCUCUGACAGCUAGCAAAGAAGUGACCAAUUACAAAAACCUAAGUAUUACACUUUACAUUUCCAAAGGUCCUGGGUCCCCUCCCGUGAGCACCACUCCAGGAACAGGCAGAAAGAGAAUGGAAACAACUUUCCUCAUGCCUCUAUUACAGCACUUACGUCUCAUGAUCUCUUUACAAAUCAGUCUCACCCCUGGGACUGGGCUCCUGCAGGCAGGACUGCUUCUCACUUCUUAGGGACCCUGAGGGGCACUGGCGAGCCACACUACCUUUGGAAUCCUGCGUUGGAACGCUUGUUCUGUCAUGUUCUUGCUGUGUGAGUUCAGGCAUGGUUUUUUUUUUGCCUUUCUGAGCCUGAGCUUCCUCAUCUGUAAGAUGGGGGCAUUUUUAUAGCUAAUUCCCAGAACUGUUUUGAGAAUCAACUGGGCCCAGCAUACUGUAAGUGCAAAAGUGUAGGUAAAUUAUUGUCAUUGCUCACAUUCUGAAUGCCUGACAGUAAGUGCUCAAAAAAUUUGGUAGAAUAGAACUCAAGAGUAAGAAAAUCCUCCAGGAAGAAUUUCAUGUUUAGAGCUGCUGCUAUUUCGAGGGGAUGUGCUUACCCUGCAAGUACCCAGGGAAGGAUAUAGUCAUCUGUCUGAGAACACCUGUGAGACACGACAUUGACUCAAGUUCCUAAUCUGAUCCCUUGCUCCAGAGCCUGUUUUGAUGUCCUGUUCUUAGGUAGAAACCUUGUCAAACCAUUAACAUGAUAUGAACAGUUACAGUGUCUGAUCUUCACUGGAAGCUAAGAAGUAGCAUUCACUCCCCCACAUAUCUUUGGAUGUCUUCCUGCUCCCACUAGCCUCCUCUGGAGCCAUGUAUGGGCCUUUCACUCACCCCACCCUGCCCCUGGCACUGUGUUGUAGCCACCUCUGAGAUUUGUGGAAAGCAGUCUUAGAAUAAGGUGAGCUAGGCAGAAGAUAAAGCAGGAAUCUCAGGAUUUAGCCUUAAGUUCUCACGUCCUGGAGAUGAGACCUGCAAGGACCAUCUUGGCAAUGUAAUUGUGUGGGUUGGAAAAAUGGAAAGAAGCAGCUCAUCAUCCUGGAUAAGGGAGGAUUUGCGGAAAAGGGAAAGAAGCGCUUGGUGCUUGGAUUCUGACAGUAGGCUGAUGGCUGGAGGCGGCUGGGCAGUGGAAGUGGAUUCCCAGCGGCUGGCAGGAGUAUGUGGCAGACAGGGCUGAGGAAGCUGUCUCCCCGGGGAUAGCCUCCUUGCUUGCUCAGAUUCCAAGUGACCGUCAGCAUUUUGUUUGCUUUCCUGAGACCCAGCCCUGGCAUGAAGAAAUAAUGGUGACCUUGAGACCCUCAACAAGCUGAAUUACUAAACUUUGGUAAAUCAAUGCCAGGAAUUGAGAGUGUUUAGCUCAAGUGGGCAGCAGACCUAGGCCAAAAUGGCAUUACAAAAACAUGGAGGUCACUGUUAACACUGUGCACAUGAAGUCAAAGUGGAAGUAAGCUAUUAAGAUCUUAGUAUGAGUCAAAAAGGGCCGGCUGACAGUCCUUGGCUAUAUGACUGGGAGCAAGUGCCUUAACCUUUCUCAACAUCAGUUUUCUCAUCUAUAAAACAGGAAUAAUAAUUCCUGCCACAUCUGACUCAUAGGGUUCUCAUGAGACUCAACAUUUGAGCAAAUUUAGAGCACAUGAUAUCAAGUGAUAGUACAUGACUUCCUUUAUGUUUCCCGCAGAGAGUGGUUGUGAGGCUCACCUGAGCAGCUACCUGCAAUGAUCAGCACAUAAUAGAUGUGCAAGAAUUAUAAUUCAAUUGUUGCUUGUAAAAAUGCUACACGUGAAAAUGCAAUAUAAGUGCACAGAGUAUUAUAAAGUGUCAAUUCUUAUUUUCAUCUUUUAUUCAUCUGCUAGCAGAUAGGAUUAAUACACGAUCCCACAGUCACCUGUCCAGCCAGGUAAAUUUUUCCAUCCCUGGUCCCAGGGGACCUCAGUAACUUCUUGCCAUCCUCCUUACUCCUCAAGUCAGCCCCACACACGAUCUCUUCCUCCUGAAGAACAAUGCCUCUUACAGGCACAGGACUCCAGUCCCCUCCAAUUUGGUCUUUGAAGCAAGACCUCCCUUUUCUGCUCUCAGGAUCAAGCCGCCUCUCCUCCAUACCUCCGCUUCUUCCUUGAGCCAUGACUGCCAGAUGGAGUGCCCUUGUCUCACCUCUCUUCUUUUUUCAGGCUCAACUCUUCUUCAAAAUUCAUACCCCUUCCUCUGGGAGCUUCCUCUGAUUUACCCCACCCCACAGAUCACUCAGCUAGUGUGGGCUCGGUUUGUGUUGUACAAUUUGGCUUUUGCUGACGCUUGAUUUUCUAAACGUUCUUUCAGCCCUGUGGCAGGGACUGCAUCUUCUUCUGUCUUCACCUGUGCCUAGUGGAAUAUACUGUUUAAAGGAGGCAAUCCAGGGAGAAUAUUCCUUGACCAAGUGUCCCUCACCUUAUUGUUUGCCUUCCUAGGCCCCUCUCUAGCAGCAGAAGCUCCCCAAGGAGCAGUGCCACCCUUCAAUGAAAAAUCUUGCUUUAGAUGUCAGUGGGGGUCCCUACCUCCCACCAUACCCAGGGAAAGCUUUCAGUUAGUGCCUGCAGGGGACUAAUUCUUCAUGACUCACGGCUUUUCUAUUCAGGUAUAAUUGCUCUUGUUCUCCAAUUUGGCAGGGGCCUUGCAGCCAAAAGAAACCUGUGCAGGGAGUAAAUCAGAGCAUUGGGUCAGUUAUCUUUGCAAUGAACUGGGGUUUUUCUUCUAGUUUCUUUUUCUUUUUCUGUCUUUCUUUCUUCCUCUUUUUUUUUUUUUUUGAGACAGAGUCUUGCUCUGUCACCCAGCCUGGAGUGCAGUGGCGCAAUCUCGGCUCACUGCAACCUCUGCCUCCUGGGUUCAAGCGAUUCUCCUGCCUCAGCCUCCCGAGUAGCUGGGAUUACAGGUGUGUGCCACCACGCCUGGAUAAUUUUUGUAUUUUUAGUAGGGACAGGGUUUCACCACAUUGGUCAGGCUGGUCUCGAACUCCCCACCUCAGGUGAUCCGCCCG
rnacentral:lncRNA from 10 species